GUGGAUUAAUGCAGCUGCUGUCAAAGCGCAUGCAGUUUUCCACGAGAAAUGUCUAUGAAGUCUUGAAAUAUUGCCUCUGCAAUUUUAUUUGAGCUACAGGUUGGGGAUUUGUCCACUUCUACAGCCAAGGAUAGAACAGCCUUGGCUAUGGAUUGCUGGGGCACAUCAUGUUUCAGCUGAAAGUCAUCCUCAAGUGUCUGAACAACAUACUGUAGGAACAACAGUCGACUACCUUUGGUCAGAGAAUCGUUCCUAUGAGGAUCCUUGAAAUACACAGACAGACACACACACGUCAUGCAGGAUUAGAUAAGGACAAAGUUAAAAAUGCAUUUAUUUUUGUUCACAUGCUCUAAAAUAGUGUGAUGCACUGUUCGUUACCUCUGUAUUCUAACUAAGAACAUUUGAAUAAUCGAUUUAUGGCUGACUCCAUAGUAAUCAGAAAUUUACUAUCUGCAAUAUCCCUUUCAUUCUCAAAACACUGUCCAUCAGGCAACUUUAUGAAAAAAACUGAAUAAAAAUACAUUAAAUAA